AAUAAGAUGGCUGAGGUUAAGCAGAAGAUUGUAAAUCUUCCCACGAGUUUUCUCUCUUAUUA
rnacentral:tRNA from 1 species